rfam:Ictidomys tridecemlineatus contig068574, whole genome shotgun sequence.
GAGGAUGUAACUCACUGGUAGAGUACUUGUCUAAAAUGUGUGAGGUCCUGAGUUCAACCCCCAGCACCCCUU